rnacentral:lncRNA from 1 species
CUUUAUCUACAAACAAAAUAAAAUUAAACUAGCCCACUUGAGAACCCAAUGUGUCACAAAGCCAGCAUUUGGUGGUACGGACAUAAGCAACUACAUUCAAUGUAUAAUACUGUGCUACUCAAUAAAUAUAGGGGAACUAUUUCCAAGUGACAUAAAGAUAGGACCCACUUUCUUCUCAUGUGAUACAGAACCAUGUAAAAAUAUCAAAAAUUCAUGUAAAAAUAUAAUCCUGUCAAACUUUUCAAAAUAAAGAUGACGCCGAUACCAAAUUUAGUUUACAACACCAUCCGAGCUUAAAAUAAACCAUAAAACAACAUUCAGAUUUAAUUAUGGUUGCUACUUCACUUGCUCAUACCUCCUCCCUCAACAGCGCGCAAUUGUUUUCUAUAUCCGCUACUUUACUUGCUAGUAGUACCUGCCUUCGGUUUCUUGGCGGGGUUAAUGUGAACAACAGCCCUGCCGCCUUAUGUAUCAGAGUAUUACUUUGUUUGCUUUCUUUGGGAAGGUGAACCUCCCAUUGACAGCAAGGUCGUAGUAGGACGCCUCACUUCUUGCCUUGUGGAAAAAUCAACAUCCUUGAAUGUGCCGCUCAUAAUUUCAAAAAAAAAGAGAUCAUGAAUGUUCGUCACUUCAGACAUUACCAAAAUAAAUGCAGUUAAAAGAUUAUUAAAUUUGAAACAGUCCUCAUACCAUAUAGCUGAAAUUGGGAGAAUGCUAGUUAAAAUUUAAACUAGUUUCCUCCCAUACCAGUUCAAGUGAAGAAUAUAUAUUACUCUUCAAAAUAUUCGAUCAUAGUCUUGCAAUAAGAAUCUAUGGAGAAAAACAAAUAAUGCUAAUUAACAAGUAUCCAGUAAAACAACUUUCGAAAGGACUUGAUUUUAAAUUUUUAAAACACACAGAAAACAAUAUUUUGGGUAUUUACAUUAAUUUUCAAGGACAGUGUUGAGGAAACGAUUGAGCAUAAGCUAUGGUUCUUAACGCUGCCAAGAAUUGAUUUCGUAUCCACUCACAGGUUGUAAUUGCGUUCAAAAAAAUUUAAAAACAAAUAAACAAAAACUAGGUUUAGAAUUGCAUCACAUCCAGGAUUUUUAGGGCUCCCACCAAGAGUUUAAAAUUGUAUCUCACAAUCCAAAGAACAACUGUUGAGAUGCACAUUAUGUUGUAUAACAACUGACGAAGUUAAAAAAAUCACAACACAAGAUGUUGUAUACACAUUAUGUUCAUACUAAAUCAGUAGGAUUUAGAAUCAUAUAGGAAACUAAUCAACUAUAAAUGUAAAAAUCGCUAGAAGACACAUAAAUACCAAAUAAAAGAUAAACAAAUAAGAUAUGACCCAUGGACCAAUACUACGAGUCUAUAAACCAUGUCCAAAUCUAUAUUGUAAAACGGGAGGAAAAAGUAACCUUUUUUUGGUGUUAACAAUUUUGUAAAGCUUUUUAGUGUUUCCUUUUCUAUCCUUUACAUCCCUAUUAAUUCUUUUAAAUAGAGUUAUUUUUUUCAUUCCUACUUUUUCUCUCCCACUCUCUUAUCCCUGUUAUUCUCCCACUUUCUACCACUUUCUUAUUCUUUCACAUUAAAUCAGUCACGUAGUGUGUGCAGUUAACUAGUAAUAAUAAAAAUCCCGAAAUACACCUAGACUCUAAAUAUAAAGGUGCCCAACAAACUAUAAAAUCAAUAUAAAUCUAAAACUCGUGUUAGGGGUGACCCAUGAGCCCGCAAUACCUGCACACACAUGAGAAGGUGUAACACACGUCUAGAACUCAAUCUUGACCCCAAAACUUAAAGUGAUAGGUCAUUUUAUCAUUGAAACACUAGAUUGGGGUAUAAAAUCUACCAACAAGGAAAAAUAAUGUCAGAAUACAUUAUUCCUAUACUGUGCGGCCCAUAUCAUCAUGUCCUGACCUUGUACCUGGUAUAACAAAUGUAGCCUUAGCAUAAAAAAAACUUGCUACGCGGGUAACCCACAACCACGUGCAAGGACGAAGACCGCGAUUAAACUACAAAAUUGUUUGUCGUCUUUACUCAUAUUAUCAAGGAUGUGUACGGAAAUUUAAAAGUUCUCACACAUCACAAAACAUUUUGAAUUUGGGCAAUUAGUGAUACAAAUUUUUAUAGAUAAACUUAUCAAAUUUAUUUGACUCAGAAGUAGAAACAUGUGCAAAUUAGAUUUAAUGGUCACUACAAGUACGCAUUCUUGUGAAGACUUACAAUAAGGAUUACCUCUGAAGUGCAGCCCAUACAAUGAGGUGAUUUUGUGAUUAGGUGGAUCUCUUUUGGGCUUAGGCAAAAGACACGAGAGGUAGAUAAGGAAAGCCCAAUUGAAAGCUUAAAAAUAAUGCAUACUUGUAAUCAUGACCAUCAAUUCUACUUUGUUAAAAAUAAUCUUAACACUGUUUAUGAGGAGUUUGGGACAGAAAAGAAAAGAAUGAAAAAUUAGUAAGUUUUCUUUUAUAUUGUUACUGAGUUUAUAAAAGAAAAGAAAAGAAAACUUAACUUAAGUUCCUCAUUUAAGUUACUAAGUUACCCUUAAAUUAGUUUAAUUAUGUUUAUAAAUUAAAGGUUUUAAUAGAGAUUAUAAACGACGAACUUAUGUUUUGUGAUUAGGUGGACCUCUUUUGGGUUUAGACAGAAAGCACGAGGGUCAGAUAAGGCAAACCCAAUUGAAGGCUUAAAAAUAAUGCGUACUUGUAAUCAAGACCAUCAAAUCAAAUUUGUAAAAAAUAAUCUUACACUCUGUUUAUGAGGAGUUUGGGAUAGAAAAGAAAAGAAUGGAAAACUAGUAAGUUUUCUUGUUGUUACUGAGUUUAUAAAAGAAAAAAAAAGAAAACAUAACUCAAGUUCCUCAUUUAAGUAACUAAGUUACCCUUAAAAUAGUUUAAUUAUGUUUAUAAACUAAAGGGUAUAAUAGAGAUUAUAAAAGAUGAACUUAUGUUAUUUGGCAAGAAAUGUAGCCAAGUUUUCCUUUCAUUUUUUUUCUUCAUUAAAAAACUCUGUAACAAAGGAAUUGGACAUAAAACUAAAGUUUUCCGCCCAUUUCUUUUCUUUUUCGUCCAUUUUAAAACACAGUAACCGAGUGUUAGAGACUUGCGUUUACCUAAGCAAUAUAAAAGAGAAUACAAGUUUAAUCGAAGAGAAAGAGAGAGAGAGAAUGAAAUAAGCCGUAGAACAUAAACGACGGAGAAGAAAGCAAAUAGCCCCUCAACGAUCAAGCUUCCAGCCUAUGGUGUUCUCAGACAUCCAUCCUCUGACUUCCAAGUAAUUUUUUCCCUUUUUCCAUCUACUUCCUCUUUUCUUUUCUUAAUUGAUUUUUCUUUUUCUACUUUUUUCUCUCGUCUUAAUAAUUUUUCUUCUUCUUGAUUUUUUUUAUCUCUUUUUCGUCAUAUUGUUGUUUUCUUCAAGGGUGUAGCAAAUGAGUUUCAAUUCUCAAGUGAGGUAUUGUUGUUUUCUCUUGAAUUUUUUAACUCUUAUCCUUUGUGAUACAAAUUAAAAUGAAAAUGAAGAAUGCAAAUAAAAACAAAGGAAAAAGGAAAGAAAAAGAAAUCAUGAAGAAGAAUUAAUAAGACGGAAAAAAAAUAGAGAAGAAAAAAUCAAUUGAGAAAAGAAAAAGGGAAAGAAAAAGAAGGAAAAAUUACAUGGAGGAUAGAGGAUGGAUGCCUGAGAUUACCAGAGACUGAAAACUUGAUCGUUGAGAAACUAAUUACUUUCUUCUUCUCCGUUUCUGUACUAGGGCUUCUUUCAUACUCCCUCUCUCCCUUUCUCUUUCUCUUUGUUUUUGCCUGUAGGUUUCUUCUCUUUUAUAUUGUUGAGGUAAACUCAACUCCUUAGGAUUAUUUUUACAAAUUAGAUUUGAUGGUCAAGAGUAUAACUUCAGUUAGGCUUGCCUUAUCAACUCCUCGUGCUUUAUGUCUAAGCGCAAAAGAGGUCCAAUUAAUCCCAAAAACGGGUACAUUGUAUUGGUUGUUGCACCUUAAAGGUAAUUUUUAUUGAAAACUUCAAAAGAAUGCGUACUUGUAAAGACCAUCAAAUCUAAUUUGUUUAAAGAAAUCCGCCUAAACCCAAUUAGGGUCUGCCUCAAACCAGGUGAGGUCCCAAAAGGUGUGCCUCGCGCCUUUGACAACAAUGCUAUAGGUGCCAUUUUUGACAUCUGUGGAUUGUCACUAUAAGAUCAUGUUAAUUACAUCAUGACAAUUAGAUCAUGAAAAUUCAGAGAUUUAUUACACGAGUUCCGUGAUUUGACAAGGAUGGAAGUAGAAGAAAAUAAAAUUUUAAUAUUAUUGGUUUUUUGUUAUAUAUUAUUAUUUCUAAAUGAUUUCAAUGUACUUAGCUUAUUUAGUAGGCAAUAUUAGAAUAUACAUAUAUAUAUAGGUAUAAAUUCUAGAGUUUUUUAUUUAUAGCAAUAGAUUAUUAUUAGAGAUUUGUUUUCUUUUCAAAUUAGAUUACCUAUUAUUUUACUUAGCCUCCAAGUAUUAGCUUUUCGAUAUAAAUUGCUACAAUCUCAUUAUUAUGAUAUUGAAUGAUUCAUUACUUUUGAUUUUAAGUCUUGUGCUUGUAGCUUUAAGGCAUAUUUAUCUCCUUUUAAUCCUUUUUAUUCCGUCCUCCUUCCUCCAUCCUUGUCCUUACAUCAUGAUUGUUUUAGCUUCUACUUUUUUACUGCUUACUGUUACAAACGAUCUAAGUCAGUAGGAAACGAUCUAAAACAGCAUGCUCAUAUUUUGGCCAUUUUCAAAAUAAACAGCUCAAAAACACUUGUCUCGGAAAAAUAAGCAACGGGAAAUCUGAAACAAAAAAGACACUAUUUAGAGAUAUCAUCGGGUUUAAAAAAAUUAUUGAAAGAAUUCUUUGAUGUUCGAAAAUCCAUUAGAAGAUAUCACAAUCUAUAAUAUAACAUCUCAUCCCCAUGUAAAUCAAUAGACGACAGUAGCAAACCCCCAAAAGCAACCAUUGCAAAAUCCAAAGAAUAAGAAGAAAAAAAUUGACUUUAUCCCACAACUUGUGGAGAGAUAAACAGCAGCUAUAAACAUACACGGCAUUCCUCUCAGACCAAGGCCAUAAUAAUACCCAAUUUGAAUUCUUGUGGCUCAAGAUGAACUGCCUCUGAAAGCAUAAACACGGAUACGACAUGAUAUGGACAUGCUAACACAAUAAGUUCUAGAAAAGCAAGAAAGUACACCUUGACAACAUGUUAAUGAUAGAAAAUUAAUGGACAUUUGGCUUGUGUUUAUAACGUUCUGGAUGCUGGGUCUCCCGAUAUUAAAUACCUUGUGCAUGUGAAGUCGCAGUGUUUUCAUAUGAUUAUGUGAAAUUUCGCAUUGCCUCGUGGAGACAAGUCAAAAUUAUGUCUUAAGGCCAAUUCAAAGGUACCAGAUACUCUCAUUAACCAAGCGACCACAUAUUGAUACUUAUGUACCACUACUCUAAAUUUACCAUACCAAUUUUUUGUUGUUGUUUUAACUAUAAUUGCACAAACAUCCAUAUUCUAACCUAGCAUUGGAUGCUCAAGCAUUACAUUUGUACUACAUUAUUUAUAAAACCGCCAACUUGUUGACGCAACUAAAUUUUUGUUAAAAAAACAUAGGUUUAUUAACAUUUAGAUUUUAAGAAAAUUUCUAAAUAUAAGCACUAAAAUAAAGACAUCAUAGCGUACCGUGUUUUAGUUAUGUAGCAUAUUGCGUGCUCGUAUUGUUCAACAAAUCAAAACGAACCACGUUCCAGGAACGCUGGGCCAAUCCGGCAGUGGUUCCAUCUGCUCUGCAACCAUGGCCCCAAAAUUUACACGUAUAAAAUGUCCCAGUGCUGCCUGCUAGUAAUGAGGACUGAAUUUAUUUUGCUGGUGAGCCUACAUUACUUGCUACUGCCUCGCAACCACGGGCCCAUAAUUUACAAUCAUGAACUGUCCAAUCGCUGCCUACUGGUGGUGAGGACACCUGGUGCCUGCAGAAACACAUACAAAUAUUAGAUGAUUCAUUCUAGAAGUGUAGUUUUGUUGUUAGAACAGCAUUAUAUCAUAUUUUCUUUAACAAAAAGAGUGUUCCCAAGUUAGAAGGUGGAGGUUGGGUUGUAUACCUGGAGGUUUAUUCACUAACAGUCUCUACUAUUAACUUUUGAUAUUAAAAUUUUAAAAAAAAAUUACUUGUGGCAAAUGCAUACAUGAAAUAAAUUUCUGAAUAAAUAUUUACUAGCAGUUAAACACAAAUUUGUUGAAUUUGUAGAAAGAACAACUACAAAUUAAUUUUCUAGAAGUUGAUGGAAGGUCAACUGUAUGGCAUAAAUAUAGAUCAUACACAGUAACAAUUUAACUUUGAAUGCAUUUUUGUUGUAUGAUAUAAAAAAGAUAUCCUUUUUUCUUUGAUAAUUUUUAUCACCAACACAAAAUAUUACAAAAUAAAAAAGAUUAUCCAUUAAGUACGUAUAAUAUUAAUGCAUUUUGGUUGUAUGAUAUUAUAAAGAUUGUGAAUACAAAUAUUCCUGAUCCAGACUCUGUUCAUUAAUGGUUCUCUAUCAACCAAAAGAUUUUAGGAUUACUCUCUUCACUAACUAGUUAGAUAUGGUUUACAUACAUACUAAAAUUUCAGAGAAUAUUUAAAAUAACAACAUAUAUAGAUCUAUCUAAAAUAAAACCAUAUAUAGAUCUAUCGAACUAGAGUGAAAAAAAGAAGGGAAAAAAGACUUCCAAAAAUAUAAAUAACAAGUGUAUAUACAUAUUUGUCUCAUCAAAGAAACUAGCUAAUCAACUGAGUUGUUAAUUUGUUAGGUUUGGCGAAAACGUAACCUAGUAAAAACACGGUCAAUUUUGCAAAUAAUGUCCUAUGCAAACCAUUUAUCACUAUAAAAAAAACAUGUGUUCUAAAAAUCGGCCAAGAUGGGCGCCUAGGAGGAAUCAACCCUCCAUCGCCUCAAUUUGGCCCUAAUCGUUGCAAUAAUUGAUGGAGGUGGUGGUGGUGCCUACCUUGCUUAAAAUGUUUUUGCGGCCUUUCAGAUGCUUAGGUACUUGCCGAUACGGCGCUCACGUGAUCUCUUCUAACUAUCUUAAACCUUGUUGCCAAUGCAGAUUGAUUGACUCUCUCACUCUCACUUACAACGUGUUUCUCUCAGCGGCUGAGAGUUGAAAUGAAAGCGAUGGUUUCUAGGGUUUUUAUUAUAAGAAUUUGCAUUUAUACAAGUUUACAGGUUUGCCCUCUAUAGUUUUCGCAUACUAGUAAGUAAAAUGGGCCUUAAGAUCUGAUCCUAUUGCAGGCCUUAUAAGGUGUUGUGCAAUCUAUAAUCUUUAUAAGUUGGUUGGGUAAUACAAAAUAUAUUGUUGCAGUUUUCAUUUACUUCACUUUCCUUUAUAAAAUUCUUUUCAACUAGAAGAAACAUUGAAGAGUUUCCCUUAUUAGCCUUUUUAAGGCUUUUCUUUUCUUUUAAACAUGAUGUUCAAAGAAAUUUAAGUUACUUUACAUGUUAAUGAUGGUUAGCGCAGAGAGAACGAACGUGAGAAUAGGAAAUAAAGAUGGAAAGAUGAUAUUACGAAUAAUUACAUAAUAAUAAUAGAUUACAUCACUUUACAUAGACUAAAGAAACUAGAAUUAAUUUAGUAGGGAAAGCAAAGAGUCUUCUACUCAAAUUAAAAGAUAUACAUUAAGUAGACUAGAUUUAUGUCUAAAUAGUAAUACAAAGAAUUUACUAAAUUUAGAAAAACUCGUCCUCAUGUUUUAAAGUGUUGGAGAAUGAGAAACAAAAUGUCUACCAGCGAAGUCUCAUGUUCCCAUUUGAUGAACACAUGUCUCCCAAAACAACUGUGGCACAAUAGAUGAUUCAAAACAACAUGGGACAAUUGGUGUCUAUUUCUUUGUUGCUUGGUUCCUUUUAAAAGUAAACAAAAUGUUGUUAGAUGGUAUGAGAAGAAAGUUGAAGAUGAAGAUAUUAAGAAGAUAAUCGAUAAUCAUCAUAAAGUGUAGCCAUUGACUUUUCAAGUGACUGACAAACAUUCGAAAAUGGAAAUGAGGACAAUAUCUUAGAGACGGGAGUACUUUUUCAUUUGAAUAAAAUAAUUGGCCCAUGCUCGUUCUCUAACACAUAUUUUGUGUUUUUAGUGUUAUAUUAUCUAUGCUUAAAUGAUUUAUUUAACUACGUUUAGAUAUGAAUGGGCAUCCUUGGUUUGGCACUUUUUCAAUAUUCUAAUACUAUAAUUUCAAGAAAAAAGGAAGAAAGGAAAAAAAAUAACAGGAAACUUGGUACAAUGCUAAAUCAACCACCAUGCAACAUGAGUUUGAAAGAAAUUUGGGAGUUUAGUAAAAUAAAUAGAGCAGAAGCUAAGGGAUGACUACGCCUAAACCACCAAUUUGACUUUGUGACCCUAUCGCUCAUGCAACCCCAGCCCCGGCCUGGGCGCAGAUGGUUCACCGCAACGCAAGAAUCCCGCCCAUGUCCCUUCCUUAUGUUCCACAAAUAAUUUGACUAUCCAUAUAAAUGCUUAUAAACCCGCGUGUAAAAUAGUCUAGUAUUCAAUGUGAGACUUCCAUUUAAAGCAUAUGAUCAACAUGCUCACUUUAACCUUGUUCUUUUAGAAAGUACUCAUGGGGUUUUCAAGUUCUAGUUGUUACAGUGACUAGAACUUUCAAAGAUUACAAGUUUAACAAGUCAAGAACUUUCAAAAAUUCAACAUGUAGGAGGGCAGAAUCGUCUUUUAUCUUCCAGAGACAACCCUGGGAGAUCAAGUCAAACCCCGGUGACAACCCAGGAGAUCAAGUCACACCCCGGAGAUAACCCCAACAGAUCAAGUCAAACCUCGGGAGAUCAAGUCAAACCCCUAUGACAACCCUGGGAGAUCAAGUCAAACCCCGAAGACAACCCCGUCCCCAGAGACAACCCCGGAAAAUAUCAAACCAACCUUAGAGACAACCAUGAGGACUAUCAAAAGUUAACAGCAGUCCAAUCUCGCAGACAACCUUGAGAAAAGACGACUACAACUGCAUCAAGCCCGAAACCAACCCAAAAAGUAGGACUGAGCAAAAAACGGAUAUAACCGAAUUACCGAACCGAACCGAAAUAAUUUAACCGAAAUAUUCUAAAUUUUCGGUUAUUUUUAAUAUUUCGGUUAUAUCCGAAUUGUUUUACGGUUUUCGGUUCGGUUGUACGGGUUUUAUUUUUGAGUUAUUCGGUUUAACCGAAUAACCGAAGUCAAGUCAAGUGAUUAGUGAUUACUACUUUACUCAGCCUUAGUCAAGUCCAUUACUACUUCAGAUCUUCGUUCUUCUUCUUUCCCUCCUCCUGCUCAAUCGACGAUCUGCCUUUCCCUCAGAACGUGACCUCAUCGAUCUGCUCAGCCUUAGUCAAGUGGCACGUGACCUCAUCGAUCUGCCUUUCCCUCAGAACAAGAAACGUGCUCUUCGUUCUUCUCCGAAACUCCGACCCACUUCCUUCUCAGAUCUGUACCCAGAUUUGUACCCAGAUCUCUCUCAGAUCUGUUCUUCUCCGACCCUCCUCCUGCUCAAUCGACGAUACGAUCUUGUAGGCGAUGGAGAGGAGGUUCUGCUCCUUGACGGUGAGCUUGCCGGCGGCAGCGGAAGUGGAGCCGAUCAAAACAUAGCAGAAAUAUAUAAAUCCGAUGUUGUAUCACAUAAAACUCAAGCGACCGCCAAAGGGAAAACAUAGCAGAAAUAUAUAAAUCAGAUGUUGUAUCACAUAAAAGAGAAGGGAUACCAGGAACAAUGUUGAUGAGAGAGAGAUAGGAGGAGGGCAGUGACAGUUGCAGGGUGGGCAAGAGGAAGAAGAGUCGCUGUGAGUGUUAAUCAAUAAUCAUGUAGGAACUCUUAUGUUGUUGUUCUCUCUCGGUAGUCGAUAAUAUGUUUUGAUGUUUCUGCUAUUAAUUGCUAAAUAGGUCUUCUAAAUUUGGUUAUUAACCGAAUAACCGAUUAACCUAUUCGGUUAUUCGGUAAUUCGGUUAUCAUAGAUUUCGGAUAAUUGUUCGGAUACCCAAAACAGUGUACUUUCGGUUUUCGGUUAUAACCGAAAUGCUUGUUCGGUUCGGAUAAUAACCGAAUGCUCACUCCUACCAAAAAGGGCAAAAUAGUAAUUUUGUCAACUCAACAUCAAUUCAGCCCAAAUCACUGCAAAAGAGGUCAUGCAGAACCAAAACAUCAAUCCCGAAUGAAAACAGCACAAGACAGCUCAACGGAUGGACUACGAAGACUUGAAGAUCUGGUCAUGGACCCAUCUUCCCGUAUUAGAAAAAGGUCAAAUCCCAUAUCAUUGUGUAGCUCUCGUCAAAGGCUUUCCGGAAAGGUAUAACACGCCUCCAUCGGAUUUCCGGAUUGAAAGUUAUGAAGGUUUGAGCGGACAACACGUUGAUUCGAGUGCAUGUACUUCGAGACAACGGGACCAUGAGGACCGGGCCCACCUGGCAGCCGCAGGUAAACCCGCGGCUAUUUUGGUCUAUAAAUAGACACCCCCAUCAGCCAAAAGAAAAAACAGAGAGAAUUUUGUCCAUUUCAGCUCUUAAUCCCUCCUAUAGUGUUUCAAACUUUGAUAUUCUUCUUUGUAAACACUUAUAUACAUAUAUACUACAACAUAUACAGAGUUUUCAAGCUUCAAAAGCGGUUUAAAGCUCUCCUUGCUACACACUUUAAGAUUCUUUCAUGAAGCUUUUACUCGCUUAUCCAAGCAAAUUAUCUUGGAAAGAAGUUCUAUACUUUCUCGUCAUCGUUUAAUAGUAGUAGGCAGUAGCACGACACAAUAUCAGUAUUAAUAGAAUAAUAUCAAUGAUGUUCCACAUCAUAUCCAUAAUUUAUUAAAUUUCUGUUAUAUAUGGAAGAAAAAAAUUUGCAAAACAACCUCAAUAAUGCUAGCCUAGAGGGGAUUAUUACAGUGAAUGCAAAUUGAAUAUUUUAAUUUAUUUUUCAGAAACAAAAAACAGAUAAAUACAAUAUUCACUUUUCUAAGCAAAACCCCAUAUUUAUCGAAGAAAAUAGUGUCUUAAAUUAUUCUAAACACCACAAAAUUUCAUAGUUACUGAACUGACACCACAAACCUGCUAUAUUGCCAUCUGUUGCAACGAUUAAGGAGCAGGAUCUAGAUAACGACGGUAGCCCCUGACGGCACCACUCCCGGACCACCGUCGGCGACGCAAGGGUAAGGUCGUAAAUAGCUUCGGUAACGAUUUUUGAAAAACUUAUUAAUAGGUUUUCCGGAUCAGAAUCCACCGUACUCGGGGAUAUUAUUAUAUGUAAAAUGUAAA